UACGAACUGUGCAAACGUUAUUCGGAAUCACUGGGCUUAAAGGGUGCGUAGGCGGCUUGUUAAGUGUCUUGUGAAAUCCCACGGCUCAACCGUGGAACUGCUGGGCAUACUGGACAUCUCGAGGCACUCAGGGGCGAGCGGAACAAGUGGUGGAGCGGUGAAAUGCGUAGAUAUCACUUGGAACGCCAAUGGUGAAGACAGCUCGCUGGGGGUGUCCUGACGCUGAGGCGCGAAAGCCAGGGGAGCGAACGGG
rnacentral:rRNA from 1 species